rnacentral:rRNA from 1 species
AACGAACGCUGGCGGCAGGCCUAACGCAUGCAAGUCGAGCGCCCCGCAAGGGGAGCGGCGGACGGGUGAGUAACGCGUGGGAACGUGCCCCAAGGUACGGAAUAGCCCCGGGAAACUGGGGGUAAUACCGUAUGUGCCCUACGGGGGAAAGAUUUAUCGCCUUGGGAUCGGCCCGCGUUGGAUUAGGUAGUUGGUGGGGUAAUGGCCUACCAAGCCGACGAUCCAUAGCUGGUUUGAGAGGAUGAUCAGCCACACUGGGACUGAGACACGGCCCAGACUCCUACGGGAGGCAGCAGUGGGGAAUCUUAGACAAUGGGCGCAAGCCUGAUCUAGCCAUGCCGCGUGAGCGAUGAAGGCCUUAGGGUUGUAAAGCUCUUUCAGGGGGGAAGAUAAUGACUGUACCCCCAGAAGAAGCCCCGGCUAACUCCGUG